GCUUGGGCAACAGAUUGAGAUGCUGUCUAAAAAAAAAAAAAGGACUGAUUUUCCAGAUUGGAUUAAUAGGACUUCAGGACCCCCAAAGGACCACAUCCUAGAAGUUGUAACUCGAUCUGCAAAAUGUAUGCAAACUUCUGUUAAAUUAGAUUGAAGGCCACAUUUGUAAUCAAGAGCCUUGGGGGCAAAAGAGACAGAAAAGCAAACAGGAACACUGAAACAUUUUGUUUUUCUCCCCGUCAAAACUAAGAUAAACAGUUAUGUGACAAGUGGCAGAGGAAGAACAAAAUGAAUGUAAUAUAUUCUAAGUAAGAACUAUAAAGGCAAGAAAGAUUUUAGUUUCAAGUGGUAAUUUCAUUUUGAGCUGUAAUGAGCAAAAUGUGAGGAGCAAAAUGGACUUUUUCUAUAGCAGAGCACACGUGAAAGUGAGAUUUCUGUUUCUGCCUGUUCUCUCAGUGACCAGUACUAGUGUGGAACGGAAGAUGAGAUGAGCUUAUAUCCCCUUGUGUGUGCUGUGCGUUUUAAUGAUAGUUUGGCGUGCAGGGGCAGAGGCCUACAGCUUUAAAAAGUGGAUGUGCUUUAUCAUUUUAACUCAAGAUGACGACUCAUUUUUCCCCUUUGUGCAGUUCAGGAAACCAGGCUGAAGAACGUGAAGUAUAUCGCCCAAAGUCAGACACGAAGGAACAACUGCUUUGGAGCUAGCACAUUCCUGAGCUGGAAUUGCACCACUGGUCAAUGGGACUGCAGAAUCCAAACUGUUUUCUACCGGAACAACUCCUUCCCUGCAGGAAGCAGGGUGCUCAUGGCUGAACCAUGGUCUGAGAAGGUUGAUGAAGUCACUGACUCAGCCCCAGCAAGGAAGUUGUCCUUCGACUUCUGACCUCUGGCCCUGUUUGAAAACCAACUCAAAUCGUCUUUCUUUUUCAGGGGAUGGAAUUGGCAAAAGAAUAUCGUGGGUCUACAUGAGCAUGGAGCUGAUAGAAGAAACUGUCAAAUACAAUCUAAAAGAACACAGUCCUUGUAAUGUAGGGGUGUGCAGAGACAGAACACAUCUUGAACUAAAACACUAA
rnacentral:lncRNA from 1 species